UGCUUCAUGGCUAAGCUGGUUACGGCGUCCGACUGUUAAUUCAUUCUUUGAAAUCUGGCAAUCGGAAGAUCGAGAGUUCGAUCCUCUCUGAAGCAG